GCGAGGGUGGCGGAACUGGCAGACGCGCUGGAUUUAGGAUCCAGUGGGCAACCGUGGGGGUUCGAAUCCACCCCUUCGCA
rnacentral:tRNA from 1 species